rnacentral:rRNA from 1 species
CGGCCUACGGGGCGCAGCAGUGGGGAAUAUUGCACAAUGGGGGAAACCCUGAUGCAGCGACGCCGCGUGAGUGAAGAAGUAUUUCGGUAUGUAAAGCUCUAUCAGCAGGGAAGAUAAUGACGGUACCUGACUAAGAAGCCCCGGCUAACUACGUGCCAGCAGCCGCGGUAAUACGUAGGGGGCAAGCGUUAUCCGGACUUACUGGGUGUAAAGAGAGCGUAGACGGCAGCGCAAGUCUGGAGUGAAAUGCCGGGGCCCAACCCCGGAACUGCUCUGGAAACUGUGAAGCUGGAGUGCAGGAGAGG